ensembl:misc_RNA 7SK 7SK RNA
GGAUGAGGGCGAUCUGGCUGAGACAUCUGUCACCCAUUGAUUGCCAUGGUUGAUUUAGUUGAUCUGGCUGGUGAGGCAAGUGUUCCUUUCCUCCCCCACCACUCCAUGUGCAUCCCCCCCAAAGCUUCAUGCUCAGAAGAAGAGAAUGACCACCCUUGAUAAGGAAAGACUGUUUUCUUGGUCAAGGGUGUAUGAAUAGCUGCACUCGCCUGCUAGAACCUCCAAACAAGCUCUCAAGAUGGGCUUAAAGCAUUCCAGGGCUUCUGAACUUUCCAAACCUCUCCUGCAAAGCAGUUU